UACUUCUCGUGGGGAAAUAGAC
rnacentral:snRNA from 1 species